AGGACACUCUAUACGGAGUUACAAAGGACGACAUUAGACGAAUCAUCUGGAAAGAUGAAUCAAAGAAGGUAAUAAUCCUGUAGUCGAAAAUGUUGUCUCUCUUGAGUGGAUCCUGAGUACGACGGAGCACGUGAAAUUCCGUCGGAAUCUGGGAGGACCAUCUCCUAAGGCUAAAUACUCUCUAGUGACCGAUAGUGAACCAGUACCGUGAGGGAAAGGUGAAAAGCACCCCGGAAGGGGAGUGAAAUAGAACCUGAAACCGUGUGCUUACAAGUAGUCAGAGCCCGUUAAUGGGUGAUGGCGUGCCUUUUGUAGAAUGAACCGGCGAGUUACGAUUUGAUGCAAGGUUAAGCAGUAAAUGUGGAGCCGUAGCGAAAGCGAGUCUGAAUAGGGCGUUUAGUAUUUGGUCGUAGACCCGAAACCAGGUGAUCUACCCUUGGUCAGGUUGAAGUUCAGGUAACACUGAAUGGAGGACCGAACCGACUUACGUUGAAAAGUGAGCGGAUGAACUGAGGGUAGCGGAGAAAUUCCAAUCGAACCUGGAGAUAGCUGGUUCUCUCCGAAAUAGCUUUAGGGCUAGCCUCAAGUGAUGAUUAUUGGAGGUAGAGCACUGUUUGGACGAGGGGCCCCUCUCGGGUUACCGAAUUCAGACAAACUCCGAAUGCCAAUUAAUUUAACUUGGGAGUCAGAACAUGGGUGAUAAGGUCCGUGUUCGAAAGGGAAACAGCCCAGACCACCAGCUAAGGUCCCAAAAUAUAUGUUAAGUGGAAAAGGAUGUGGCGUUGCCCAGACAACUAGGAUGUUGGCUUAGAAGCAGCCAUCAUUUAAAGAGUGCGUAAUAGCUCACUAGUCGAGUGACACUGCGCCGAAAAUGUACCGGGGCUAAACAUAUUACCGAAGCUGUGGAUUGUCCUUUGGACAAUGGUAGGAGAGCGUUCUAAGGGCGUUGAAGCAUGAUCGUAAGGACAUGUGGAGCGCUUAGAAGUGAGAAUGCCGGUGUGAGUAGCGAAAGACGGGUGAGAAUCCCGUCCACCGAUUGACUAAGGUUUCCAGAGGAAGGCUCGUCCGCUCUGGGUUAGUCGGGUCCUAAGCUGAGGCCGACAGGCGUAGGCGAUGGAUAACAGGUUGAUAUUCCUGUACCACCUAUAAUCGUUUUAAUCGAUGGGGGGACGCAGUAGGAUAGGCGAAGCGUGCGAUUGGAUUGCACGUCUAAGCAGUAAGGCUGAGUAUUAGGCAAAUCCGGUACUCGUUAAGGCUGAGC
rnacentral:rRNA from 1 species